rnacentral:rRNA from 1 species
AGAAUCAACGCUGGCGGCGUGCCUAACACAUGCAAGUCGAACGAGAAAGGGACUUCGGUCCUGAGUAUAGUGGCGCACGGGUGAGUAACACGUGAAUAAUCUACCUCCGAGUGGGGAAUAACCAAGAGAAAUCUUGGCUAAUACCGCAUAACACUUACGAGUCAAAGCAGCAAUGCGCUUGGAGAGGAGUUCGCGGCAGAUUAGUUAGUUGGCGGGGUAAUGGCCCACCAAGACGAUGAUCUGUAUCCGGCCUGAGAGGGCGCACGGACACACUGGAACUGAAACACGGUCCAGACUCCUACGGGAGGCAGCAGUGGGGAAUUUUGCGCAAUGGGGGAAACCCUGACGCAGCAACGCCGCGUGGAGGAUGAAGUAUCUCGGUACGUAAACUCCUUUCGAUGGGGAAGAUAAUGACGGUACCCAUAGAAGAAGCCCCGGCUAACUUCGCGCCAGCAGCCGC